AGUUAAACAGUACGUGAAAUUGUUGAAAGGGAAACGAUUGAAGCCAGUCGUACCUUCGGGUAAUCAGCCUUUCGGGUGCGAUUAUGUGGAGUGUGAGGAGCUUAAACACCUUCAUGUUUUGCAUAUUCGUACUCUUGGGUGUACUUGCCCGUGUGGUUGGUUAACAUCAAUUUUGGUGGUCAUAAAAUGACUGGGGGAAUGUAGCUUCGAUCUUGUAUUGAAGUGUUAUAGCCUUCGGUAGAUGUGAUGAUCGAGAUUGAGGAUUGCAACGGAUACCUUUCGGGGCUACCUGUCUGAUCUCUGAUUGUUGCUUUGGUGCUGAAAGCGUGCUUAUAGUUAUCAAAGUCGAUGGUCAAUAGGUUAGAAUGGGUUAAAUUCGUUAAGGAUGUUGACGUAAUGGCUUUAAA
rnacentral:misc_RNA from 1 species